GAAACAUAUGUGCUUUCAGCACCAACGUGGAAAAUUGUGAUGAUAAUAAAUUUUAUAGUAUUGAUGCUAAUCCUAUAUACCUAAGAAGUUCACCCCCACUACUUGAUUUAUCUGAACAUGCACGAAAGCCACGUCACCAUCCAAUCACAGUCAGCCACGUCACACCUAAUCAGUCCCAUGCAGUGCACCUCCUGACCCUGUAGCCCACCUCCUAAAGUCAAAAAGAAAAAAA
rnacentral:lncRNA from 1 species